GGGCGACGGGCGGUCCCGGGUGGGGCGGCCCGGGGCGGUGACCACCCUGGCGUCUUGGCAGGUGUGCGACGACCCGGAGGAGCUGCGGGGGAAGGUCCAGGAGCUGGCCAGCGCCGUCCGGAACGCCAAAUACUUGGUCGUCUACACAGGCGCGGGAAUCAGCACGGUAGGGAGGGAGGCGGAGGCGUACCCCAGGACGGAGUAUGAGCUCCAGUAAUCGCGAAAAACUCGCGUUUAAAGCAGCUCUAAGGUUUUUUCUCUUAAAGAAACGAAAUGACCAAAACUUACCUAAGGCAGCGUCUAUCCCAGACUACCGGGGCCCUAAUGGAGUGUGGACACUGCUUCAGAAAGGGAGAAGCGUUAGUGCUGCCGACCUGAGCGAGGCCGAGCCAACCCUCACCCACAUGAGCAUCACCCGUCUGCAUGAGCAGAAGCUGGUGCAGCAUGUGGUGUCUCAGAACUGUGACGGGCUCCACCUGAGGAGUGGGCUGCCACGCACGGCCAUCUCCGAGCUCCACGGGAACAUGUACAUUGAAGUGAGCAGUCCUGCAGGGACCCGGGGUCUCCAUGGGCAGGCGGGUCCCACUCACUGUGCCCUCUUGCCUCUAGGUCUGUACCUCCUGCGUUCCCAACAGGGAGUACGUGCGGGUGUUCGAUGUGACGGAGCGCACCGCCCUCCACAGACACCAGACAGGCCGGACCUGCCACAAGUGUGGGACCCAGCUGCGGGACACUAUUGUGCACUUUGGGGAGAGGGGGACGUUGGGGCAGCCUCUGAACUGGGAAGCGGCGACCGAGGCUGCCAGCAGAGCAGACACCAUCUUGUGUCUAGGGUCCAGCCUGAAGGUACGUGCCGAUGACACAAUGAGUGAACCGAGCCCCCACCCGCCCGAGGGUGUCCAGCUCUGCGGCCCAGCACUCUACAGACUUGUCCCUUGUGUGUGUGC
rnacentral:sRNA from 1 species